GCAUGAGCGGGGGAGGGGCAGAGAGAGAGGGAGACACAGAAUUUGAAGCAGACUCCAGGCUCCGAGCUGUCAGCCCAGAGCCCGACUCGGGGCUCAAACUCACACUGUGAGAUCAUGACCUGAGCCGAAGUUGGAUGCUCAACCAUCUGAGCCACCCCGGCGUGCCUAAAUUAUCUUUUUAAAAUUUCAUGUUCAUAACCAGAAGUUGUGUAGAUAAGAGCAACCAUCUAAACCGACUGAGGACAGGUGUUCCUCCCUCUGGGGGACCGCUCUCCCCAUCUCAGGUCCCCGAGUGAGGCCCCCUUGACUUUGUGUUCAAGAGCCACCUGCAGCCUGCACUCCCCUGGCCCCAGCUGCUCUGGGGUCUUCCGUCCCGGAGCCCUUGCCGUCCCGGUGCACAGGGAACUUGCUCUGUCCCCUGGAGACAGAAGGUCCGCAAAGGCAGGGGGCUCUGUGUGCUCUGUGCAUUCCGGUGGCCCAAUGCUGAUCUCCGUCCUUAUUCCAUAAAUAUCUGUGGAAGAAUGAAUGAAUGAAUGAAUGAGCCAUAGGAGAAAUAGUUUUUCCUCAUUGAAAGAUGGGGCUCUGAGAACGGCUAGCCUUGGAGAGGUGCUCACUUUCCUUGUGCCUGGACGGUUUCCUUGGGGCAGCCCCCAAAGUACAUUUACUGGGCCUGGGAGCGUGUUCUUCCUAAGGCUCCGGAUACACAGCACCGCACGCCGACUUCCACCCAGGCUAUGUUCAUUUCCACUCGCCCUGGACGGAGGCGUCCAUUCACCCAACCGCCGUCUUCUGGUUUAAGAACCAAAAUUUGACAAUUUUGCGCAACUGGCACUCCCUGACGUGGCCCCGCUCCCCCUGUCACCACCCUGCGCGCUCCGAGACGAAACAUCAGGGCUCAGCGCCCCCUUCCGUGGAUUAAGUCUCCAAAAGCCAAUAUUGGGCCCCAACCAUGCCCUCCUAGGCAUUUAAAACUAGCAGCGAGCGACAAGGGAGCCAAUGCCAAGUCUGUCACCAGCAAGCCAGCGCCCCCAGCAUCCGGGCUGUGCCAAGCUGAACCUCCCCCACACGGCUCAGCACCAGCCAAGGCUGAGCAAAGCCCGACUCCUCCCAGCAGUUGUUACUGGAAGUUUAUGCAAAACCAAACCGCAGAAACAAUCUCCCCCAGCCGGGAUCCUGUUUCCUCUUCCUGACAACCCUAAGAUUUAGC